rnacentral:misc_RNA from 1 species
GCCGGUUAAUCCCAAGAUGAAGACUUCAAAUAUAGCUCAUGUUACUAGGACACCAGUUCCUAAGAAACCGAAGGCAAAAGAUCUCAAUAAGAGAGACAUGACGUAUGAGGAAAAGCAGAAGCUUAGCACUAAUCUUCAGAAUUUACCUUCAGAAAAGCUUGAUGCAAUUGUUCAGAUAAUUAAGAAGAGGAACACCGCACUUAGUCAAGACAACGAUGAGAUUGAAGUAGAUAUAGAUAGUGUUGAUGCAGAAACACUCUGGGAGCUUGAUAGAUUUGUAACAAAUUUCAAAAAGAG